CCUACGGGUGGCUGCAGUAGGGAAUCUUCCACAAUGGACGAAAGUCUGAUGGAGCAACGCCGCGUGAGUGAAGAAGGCUUUCGGUUUGUAAAGCUCUGUUGGUAGGGAAGAAAAUUACAGUACGUAAUUGGCCUUUACUGGACCGUAAUUACUUAGACAGUCCCGUCUAACGUCGGGCGAGAAGGCGCUGCGAUACGUAUGGGGGAAGCGUGGGCCGGGUUUGCUGGGCGUAAAUGGAGUGCAGGCGGUUGAAUAAGUCUGAUGUGAAAGUCGUCGGCUCAACCGGGGAAUUGCAUCGGAAACUGUGGAACUGGAGUGCAGGAGAGGUAAGUGGAAGUCCUGGUGUAGCGGUGGAAUGCGUAGAUAUAAGGAAGAACACCAGUGGCGAAGGCGGCUUACUGGACUGAAACUGACGCUGAGGCUCGAAAGCGUGGGGAGCAAACAGGAUUAGAUACCCCAGUAGUC
rnacentral:rRNA from 1 species